rnacentral:rRNA from 1 species
GACAGAGGGUGCAAACGUUGUUCGGAUCUACUGGGCGUAAAGCGCGUGUAGGCGGCUUGGCAAGUCGGAUGUGAAAGCCCACGGCUCAACCGUGGAAGCGCAUCCGAAACUGCUUCGCUCGAGUCUCGGAGAGGAAGGUGGAAUGCUUGGUGUAGAGGUGAAAUUCGUAGAUAUCAAGCAGAACACCUGCGGCGAAGGCGGCCUUCUGGACGAUGACUGACGCUGAGACGCGAAAGCGUGGGGAGCAAACAGG